UGACGUUGGUUGUGGCGGUGGAAUUCUUUCAGAGCCGUUGGCCAGGAUGGGAGCUUCAGUAACAGGUGUGGAUGCUGUGGACAAAAACAUCAAGAUUGCACGCAUUCAUGCUGAUUUGGAUCCAGUGACUUCAACGAUUGAAUACUGCUGUAC